rnacentral:rRNA from 1 species
UACGUAGGGGGCAAGCGUUGUCCGGAUUUAUUGGGCGUAAAGAGCGUGUAGGCGGCCAGACAGGUCAGCUGUGAAAACUCGAAGCUCAACCUCGAGACGUCGGUUGAAACCGUCUGGCUAGAGUCCGGAAGAGGAGAGUGGAAUUCCCGGUGUAGCGGUGAAAUGCGCAGAUAUCGGGAAGAACACCCGUGGCGAAGGCGGCUCUCUGGGACGGUACUGACGCUGAGACGCGAAAGCGUGGGGAGCGAACAGG